rnacentral:rRNA from 1 species
CAGUAGCCGCGGUAAUACGUAGGUGGCAAGCGUUGUCCGGAAUUAUUGGGCGUAAAGGGCUCGCAGGCGGUUUCUUAAGUCUGAUGUGAAAGCCCCCGGCUCAACCGGGGAGGGUCAUUGGAAACUGGGAAACUUGAGUGCAGAAGAGGAGAGUGGAAUUCCACGUGUAGCGGUGAAAUGCGUAAAGAUGUGGAGGAACACCAGUGGCGAAGGCGACUCUCUGGUCUGUAACUGACGCUGAGGAGCGAAAGCGUGGGGAGCGAACAGGAUUAGAUACCCGUGUAGUCCCUGUCUCUUAUAC